rnacentral:rRNA from 1 species
GACGUAGGGCGCGAGCGUUGUCCGGAUUUAUUGGGCGUAAAGAGCUCGUAGGCGGCUUGUCGCGUCGACUGUGAAAACCCGCGGCUCAACCGCGGGCCUGCAGCCGAUACGGGCAGGCUAGAGUUCGGUAGGGGAGACUGGAAUUCCUGGUGUAGCGGUGAAAUGCGCAGAUAUCAGGAGGAACACCGAUGGCGAAGGCAGGUCUCUGGGCCGAUACUGACGCUGAGGAGCGAAAGCGUGGGGAGCGAACAGGAUUAGAUACCCUGGUAGUCCACGCUGUAAACGUUGGGCGCUAGGUGUGGGGGACCUCUCCGGUUCUCUGUGCCGCAGCUAACGCAUUAAGCGCCCCGCCUGGGGAGUACGGCCGCAAGGCUAAA